UUGGAGGGCAAGUCUGGUGCCAGCAGCCGCGGUAAUUCCAGCUCCAAUAGCGUAUAUUAAAGUUGCUGCAGUUAAAAAGCUCGUAGUUGAAUUUCGGGACCAAUAUGUCGGUCGUGCCUCGGUACGUACUGGCAUCGUUGGUUUCUCCCUUCUGACGAACCAUGAUGUCAUUUAUUUGGUGUCGUGGGGAAUCAGGACUGUUUCUUUGAAAAAAUUAGAGUGUUUAAAGCAGGCUCACGCUUGAAUACAUUAGCAUGGAAUAAUGAAAUAGGACGUUUGAUUCUAUUUUGUUGGUUUCUAGGAUCGACGUAAUGAUUAAUAGGGAUAGUUGGGGGCAUUAGUAUUCAAUUGUCAGAGGUGAAAUUCUUGGAUUUAUUGAAGACUAACUACUGCGAAAGCAUUUGCCAAGGAUGUUUUCAUUAAUCAAGAACGAAAGUUAGGGGAUCGAAGACGAUCAGGUACCGUCGUAGUCUUAACCAUAAACUAUGCCGACUAGGGAUCGGAUGAUGUUAAUUUUUUAAUGACUCAUUCGGCACCUUACGGGAAAC
rnacentral:rRNA from 1 species